rnacentral:rRNA from 1 species
CGUGUUUUUCAAAACAUGUCUUAGUGAUUUUUAUAUGCUAAGUCUAACCUGCUCAAUGAUGAAUAAAUUAAAUAGCCGCAGUAUUUUGACUGUGCGAAGGUAGCAUAAUCAUUUGUCUCUUAAUUGGAGGCUAGUAUGAAUGGUUGAAUGAAAGAAUAACUUUCUUUAUAUUAAAAAAUUGAAUUUAAUUUCUUAAUUAAAAAGUUAAAGAUUUUUAAAUGGGACGAGAAGACCCUAUAGAAUUUUAUUUUAUUAAUAAUAGAUAUUUAUAUAGGUUAUAUUAAAUAAUAUGUGUUAUAUUAAAAUUAUGUUGGGGUGACAGUAAGAUGUUUUUAACUCUUAUAUUAUAUUAAUCAUUAAUUAGUGUAAUGAAGAUCCUUAAUUUAUGGAUAAUUAGAUUAAAUUACCUUAGGGAUAACAGCGUAAUUUUCUUGGAGAGUUCACAUCUAUAAGAAAGUUUGCGACCUCGAUGUUGGAUUAAAAUUAGUAUUAAGCGCAGAAGCUUAUUUUACUAGGUCUGUUCGACCUUUAAUAUUUUACAUGAUCAAUUUCUAACCC